rnacentral:tRNA from 1 species
GGGUCGUUAGCUCAAUUGGUAGAGCAGCGGACUUUUAAUCCGUUGGUCACGCGUUCGAGUCGCGGACGACCCACCA